rnacentral:misc_RNA from 1 species
ACUUCAUAAAAGAUUAGGAAAAGUAAAAGUAUAUGAUAUAGAAACCUAUAAUAUAAAUGAAUACAAAUAAAAACAAACAAAUCGAACCAAACUAUAAAAAGUACUUGUUAUUUUUAAAGUUUAAAGAAACUAUGUAAGGCAAAUAGUACUAAAUAAAAAAAAGGAGCAAUAACGCCCUCUUGUUUUAUCAAGAGGGAAGCUAUUGCUCCUUUUUUAGUUCAAAAACUCCUAUACAAUCAGACCAAAGUC